rnacentral:misc_RNA from 1 species
UCUCCAUAUCUUCGCCUAGCUUCCUUUUAUCUUCGGCGUCUCUCUCACGCACGCACGCACGCACACCCGCUGCAGUGGAGUUGUCUGUGUCAUUCUUCGCUUCGUGGCGUGAUGAUAGACGCGUGCGCGACCUCCCUUUAUCUGUUGUAGUUUUGAUCGUGACUCUGCCUUCAAAAAAAA